rnacentral:rRNA from 1 species
GUAGUCAUAUGCUUGUCUCAAAGAUUAAGCCAUGCAUGUCUAAGUCCAAGCUGUGUUCACACGGCGAGACCGCGGACGGCUCAUUAAAUCAGUCGUGGUCCAAAUGGGCCAGUGCAAAUCCUACUUGGAUAACUGUGGUAAUUCCAGAGCUAAUACAUGCAACUGAUAUCCCGAAGGCGGUGUUUGGGCUUGCUUGCCUUGCGCUGCGCUGCUCUGACGGAUGCUUUUAUUAGACCAAGCCGCUGAGGACUUGAGGGUUCGCGCUCUCUUGUCUGACUCGUGUGAUGGUGACUCUGGAUAACCAAAUUCUGACAAGCGCACGUACUUCUCUUCUGAGCGAGACGGCGCUGCCACUUUCGAGUGUCUGCCUUAUCAGCUAUCAACCGUUCGUUAUGCGCGACCGAUGGCUUUGACGGGUAACGGGGAAUCAGGGUUCGAUUCCGGAGAGGCAGCCUGAGAGACGGCUACCACGUCCAAGGACGGCAGCAGGCACGCAAAUUACCCAAUCCCAGCAAAUGGGGGAGGUAGUGACGAAAUCUAACGAUGCGGGCGCCCUUUCUGGGGCCCCGCAAUCGGAAUGGGCACUUUCUAAACAACCUGUUGAGAACCUACUGAA